GAGAGGAUGCAUCCCUGGAGAGUUGCGUGGGGAAGCAUAGCUACAAUUUGAGGCAACAUAUUAACCAGGAACAAUUAAGAUGAGUGAUGAGGGGAGGAUUAGCUAGAGGAUGAAGUUUAUGGGCAAUCUGAAGAGUGCCCUCAUGAGAUAAAUUUAUGGACUGUCUGAACUACAAUGCUCUCAGAAUUAUUUUUUUGUAUCGCUUCCCUUCUAUUAGAAAAAUAGGAAAACAACAUCGCUUCUGGAAACUGUGUAUAAACCUUAGUGUAACUUCCUAGCUAUGACUUCUCCGGUAAUGUUCUGAAAUAAUAUAGGCUAAUGUUAUGCAGUCA